rnacentral:rRNA from 1 species
AUUGAACGCUGGCGGCAGGCCUAACACAUGCAAGUCGAACGAGUGGCGGACGGGUUAGUAAUGUCUGGGAAAGUGCCUGAUGGAGGGGGAUAACUAGUGGAAACGGUAGCUAAUACCGCAUACUCUCGGAUGUGCCCAGAUGGGAUUAGCUAGUAGGUGGGGUAAAGGCUCACCUAGGCGACGAUCCCUAGCUGGUCUGAGAGGAUGAUCAGCCACACUGGGACUGAGACAAGGCCCAGACUCCUACGGGAGGCAGCAGUGGGGAAUAUUGCACAAUGGGCGCAAGGCUGAUGCAGCCAUGCCGCGUGUAUGAAGAAGGCCUUCGGGUUGUAAAGUACUUGCAGCGGGGAGGCGUUACCCACAGAAGAAGCACCGGCUAACUCCGUGCCAGCAGCCGCGGUAAUAC